GCCGCGGUGGUGGAAUUGGCAGACACGCUAGCCUUAGGAGCUAGUGAGAGUGAUCUCGUGUGGGUUCGACUCCCACCCGCGGCA
rnacentral:tRNA from 1 species